UCGGGCCGGCGGAUAAACAAAGGGGGAGCCUCUGCAGCGCCCCCGCGGUCCGGCUCUCCUCCGGCCCCGCUCGGCUGCCGCUCCCUCCGAGGGGCCGCCAGAAGGGGCCGGGUGCCACGCCCCUCAGAGCCGCUUGAACGGACCGCCCUUGACGCCCGGCGACACCCGAACAAGCUAACCGACGGUUUCCCCGCCCUCCCCCCGCCCGGCCCGCCGAGGCUGGCUCACCCGCUGCAUUCACCGACACGAGGGUCACGGUCCAGACAGAUUUUCUUUUCCCAGAAAUGAAGGCACGUUUGCAUUUGCAUUUCCUGGAGGCAAGUUUGCAUUCAGUUUCUUGAACCUAAAAGUUUCUUUCACAGUACUACAGUCUGGCUAAUCUUGUCUGGGGUCAGAAGCUAAGCAGGGUCAGACUGGGUUAGCAUUGAGAUGGGAGACUCCAGAGAGCUCCAGGACUGUAAGUGAGAUUUGGAGGUUGAAAAACAUCCCAGAAGUCUGGCAGCAAAGCGUCUUUGGGCUGCUGCAAGGAAGACUGCACAGACACAUCCCUGACGCCCGCCCGCUGGGGUUGAGCUCACCUCAGCUUGCAUCUGUGUGGCACACCCUCAACCCUCAGCCAUCAGGGUGGCAUUAACUGCAGAGCUGCGGCUCAGAACGAGACAUUCCGGAGGAGAAAUUCUGGCGCCAGAUCCCAGAGGAUAGGCCGGAACUUGAGAGGCAAACCAAGCCACUCCGGUCUGCAGCUAGGAAUUUCAGCUGGCCUGUGUCUGCGAAUGCACAUCAGUAAGUUUACACCACAGCUGGGGAAUAGAUGGACAAACAGUAGACGAAAAUAUGCCUUUUCUAUACCCCUUUCCCCUCCAUCGCAGAAAACAACAACAGGCAGAGUUAGUAGAUGUCGUGUCUUCGAGAGAGAUCCGUCUGGCUUCAGUGACAACUGAGACUUGCCGAAGCUGGAUUUCCACGCCUGCUUCAAAAGCCUUUAAGCCUAUUUUCCUAUUUGAUAUAUUGUGACUUGUCAUCAUCAUCAUUAUUAUUACUAUUGCUGCUACUACUGUUGUUGUUAUUAUUAUUAUUUCAGUUGGGGCCAUGACGCAACCAUAGCCUACACCACUGUCUUCUUUCUUCAACAGCCCAGAAACAACACGGGGCUUAAAACUACGCCACUGGCCUUGCUAAUAUUUUCAUCAUAAGACAGAAGUCUGCUCCCCUUUGUGGAGAUCCUGAUAUUGUUCUUGUACAGGGAUAAAUAGCUGUUUGCAGAUGUGUUUAUGUCUUUAAAUAGUUAUAACUGGUGGGUCUCAGGAUGGGAUACAUUUGUAAAAUGACAGUAAAGCAACGCUAAGACCA